UACGUAGGGUGCAAGCGUUGUCCGGAAUUAUUGGGCGUAAAGAGCUCGUAGGCGGUUUGUCGCGUCUGCUGUGAAAGUUCGGGGAUCAACCCCGGAACUGCAGUGGGUACGGGCAGACUAGAGUGCGGUAGAGGAGAAUGGAAUUCCGGGUGUAGCGGUGGAAUGCGCAGAUAUCAGGAGGAACAAGAGUGGCGAAGGCGGGUCUCUGGGCCGCAACUGACGCUGAGAAGUUAAAGCGUGGGGUGGGAACAGG
rnacentral:rRNA from 1 species